rnacentral:rRNA from 1 species
CCUACGGGAGGCAGCAGUGAGGAAUAUUGGUCAAUGGCCGCAGGGCUGAACCAGCCAAGUCGCGUGAGGGAUGACGGUCCUAUGGAUUGUAAACCUCUUUUGUCAGGGAGCAAAGGGCGCCACGUGUGGCGCUUUGCGAGUACCUGAAGAAAAAGCAUAGGCUAACUCCGUGCCAGCAGCCGCGGUAAUACGGGGGAUGCGAGCGUUAUCCGGAUUUAUUGGGUUUAAAGGGUGCGCAGGAGGAAUGUCAAGUCAGCGGUAAAAUUUCGGGGCUCACCCCCGUCGUGCCGUUGAAACUGGCGUUCUUGAGUGAGCGAGAAGUAUGCGGAAUGCGUGGUGUAGCGGUGAAAUGCAUAGAUAUCACGAAGAACUCCGAUUGCGAAGGCAGCAUACCGGCGCUCAACUGACGCUCAUGCACGAAAGCGUGGGUAUCGAACAGGAUUAGAUACCCGUGUAGUC